CAAUAGCGUAUAUUAAAGUUGCUGCAGUUAAAAAGCUCGUAGUUGCAUUUCCGAGGCAAGGGAUUAGUCCGACCUUUGGUGGGUAUUUAAUCCUCUUGCCUCGUCCUUGAGUGGUGCUUCUUGGUAUUAAGUUAUCGAGGAGAUAGCCGCUCAUCGUUUACUGUGAGAAAAUUAGAGUGCUCAAAGCAGGCUUAUGCCGUUGAAUAUAUUAGCAUGGAAUAAUAAGAUAGGACCUCGGUACUAUUUUGUUGGUUUGAGAACCAAGGUAAUGAUGAAUAGGGACAGUUGGGGGUAUUCGUAUUCAGUUGUCAGAGGUGAAAUUCUUAGAUUUACGGAAGACGAACUACUGCGAAAGCAUUUACCAAGGAUGUUUUCAUUAA
rnacentral:rRNA from 1 species